UGAAUCCCAAGCAGGAGAGCUGCAGCCCUCCUAGGGGGGCUGGGGGCAUGGAGUGGGAGCUCCAGGGCUUGGUGGAGCUGGCUCUCAGCCCUGUGCUGCAAAGGCAAGAGAGCAGGAGCAAAGGCAGCAUGGAGGUGGCAGUCCGUACCUCACCUUUUUUUGGAACCAUCCACCUGGUGUGUGUGCAGAAGAUCCUUCAGCAUUAAUUACCCCCCUGCAAGGUACGUGAUCAGAGAAUCGUUAAGGUUGGAAAUGGCCUCUGAGGUCCCCAACCUCACCCCACCAUGCCCACUGCCCCUGUCCCUCAGUGCCACAUCUCUGAUGUGUUCUCUGAGUAUUCCCAGGGAUGGAAACCCCACUGCUCCCUGGGCAGCCUGUGCUGGUGCUUUGGAGAAGAACUGAUUCCUGAUGUCCAGGUUGAUCUUCUCCUGGUGCAACGUGAGGCCAUCACCUCUCAUCCUAUCAACACCACCGCCAUCUCCAGCUCUUCUCUAGGCACCCGCUGCAGCCACAGCAGGCAGGUGGUAUGUAAUGCUGAGGUCCAUGUGCAGCACUGUGAUUACACUGAUCUCCUCUUUGGGGUGUCCGGGGCCGAGCUGCUCUCCAUGGAGCCCUGGAGUGACUGCAGAUUGCAAACAGAAGUUUCUGGAACUGGACCAAUGAUUAAAGGGCCCAGAAACUCUCUCGGUGCCCCCCACGCAAGAAGCAUCGCUCCUUUGUGCUAGGAAAUAACGGGUGCUUUAUCCUCGGUCGGGUCCGGCGCGCCGUCCCUUAAUUGCAGCUCCUGCUCGCCGGCGGAGCACCAAAGACAUCUCCUCAUCAGCGGAACCACUGCACGACAUCAAACGAGCGCAUAAACUUUGCAGAAUUUGCCUAUUUAAAAUUAGAAACCCAGCAGGACUGCGCCGUGGACUCAUUUCAGGGAAGGAUUUGGGGUGAGCCGACGCUCUGGGUGAUUAUUAGAGGAAUGAUUAGUGGCCUUCCCAACGCAGGGGUGGAAACGCACACAGCAUUCACAUUUAAUGAGCGUUGCACAAUCCAGGAUCAUCAGUUUACUCACUUUGCGGAGCCCACAGGUCAUAAAAUUCGGGCUGGAUUGUGUGAAGCAUCUCACACAAAGGGCUGCCCGUAACAAAAUAAGCCUUUAAUUAGCAGAACAUCAGGCGAGGCUGAGGUGCAACUUUCCCAGACGUAUCACCGGUGACAUUAAUUACUGACGGACUUUGCAUAUGCAUGACGUGCGCCAUUUUUGCUUGUGCGCUGCUGUUCUCCCUUUGUGGGGCUUUGCUGGGUGCCCCUGGGUUGGGGUGGGGGCACAGCCAUGGCUCCAUCUCUUCUCCCAUUUAUGAUGGGAAUUCCUCCUCGAGGAUGCAACCGCCUGCCUGCCACAACCAUGGGCACGAGGAAGGGAUUCUUCGUUGGGUCUGGUUCUGGCAUUGCAACUUUGGGUUUCACUUCAUUGAGUUCCUGACAGAGCUUGGAGGGGAAAAGCAUGGGGAAACGUCAGCAGCUGACAUGAAUAUAUGAAAUUCAUCAAAACUGGGAAAAACUCAAUUCUGGACCACGACCCGACAUGCCAACAGAUGCAGGGAGUGUCAGACACCACUUUGAAAACCACUGUGGUCUUCUUCAUUACAACUGGAGCUGUACAGCAGGAAACCCUUCAGUGAAGGACGCACAGCGCUGAUGGGAAUUGGAGCGCGUGCGUUUAUCGGCUGUGCUGUU
ensembl:lncRNA